rnacentral:rRNA from 1 species
CUUCUUAGAGGGACUAUCGGUGUUUAACCGAUGGAAGUUUGAGGCAAUAACAGGUCUGUGAUGCCCUUAGAUGUUCUGGGCCGCACGCGCGGCUACACUGAUGAAGUCAACGAGUUCAUUUCCUUCAUCGGAAGAUGUGGGUAAUCUUUUGAAACUUCAUCGUGCUGGGGAUAGAGCAUUGCAAUUAUUGCUGCUUGAACGAGGAAUCCCUAGUAAGURCAAGUCACUAGCUUGUGCUGAUUACGUCCCUGCCCUUUGUACACACCGCCCGUCGCUACUACCGAUUGAAUGGCUUAGUGAGG